UGGGGUGUAGCUCAGUGGUAAAGCACUUGCUUGGCACAUGCAAGGCUCUAGGUUCAAUCCCUAGCACCAUAA
rnacentral:tRNA from 1 species